rnacentral:rRNA from 1 species
UACGUAGGUGGCGAGCGUUAUCCGGAAUGAUUGGGCGUAAAGGGUGCGUAGGCGGCCUGCUAAGUCUGGAGUGAAAGGUACCGGCUCAACCGGUACAGGCUCUGGAAACUGGCGGGCUAGAGAGCAGGAGAGGGCGGUGGAACUCCAUGUGUAGCGGUAAAAUGCGUAGAUAUAUGGAAGAACACCAGUGGCGAGGCGGCCGCCUGGCCUGUUGACUGACGCUGAGGCACGAAAGCGUGGGGAGCAAAUAGG